UUCCCCGGGCCGGCGGCCCCUGCCGCCGCCCACCCCUCCCGCGGUCCCCACGGGCUGAGGCGCCUGGGGGAGGUCCCUGCCCCAACGAAGUGGUCCAUCCAUGCGGUCGGAGCAGGCCACCUGCCUGAACCAGGUAACAUGUUAAGACGGUCAACAACGGAUCUCUUGGCUCUCGCAUCGAUGAAGAACGCAGCGAAAUGCGAUAAGUAAUGUGAAUUGCAGAAUUCAGUGAAUCAUCGAAUCUUUGAACGCACAUUGCGCCCUCUGGCAUUCCUCAGGGCAUGCCUGUUCGAGCGUCAAUAGAAACCCCCCUCACCCUCCCGGUGGUACUGGGGGAGGUGGGUCGCCCUCCAGGCGCCAGAUCCACCCCCCUGAAAAGCAUGGGCCCGAGAGACGACGGCUGCGACUGACACUCUAAGCGCUUUCUGAAGCCAGAACCAGUCCACCGCCAUGUCGAGCGGCGCACCACUGGAGCCCCCAUCCAG
rnacentral:sRNA from 2 species